rnacentral:rRNA from 1 species
GACAGAGGUCCCGAGCGUUAGGCGGAAUCACUGGGCUUAAAGCGUGUGUAGGCGGAUGCCUAAGUACCUUGUGAAAUCCCACGGCUCACCCGUGGAACUGCUUGGUAUACUGGGUGUCUUGAGCCACUUAGGGGCUACCGGAACAAAUGGUGGAGCGGUGAAAUGCGUAGAUAUCUGGAGGAAUACCGGUGGCGAAGGCGGCAUCCUGGACCGGCAUUGACGCUGAUGAACGAAAGCUAGGGGAGCAAACGGG